rnacentral:rRNA from 1 species
CCUACGGGUGGCAGCAGUGAGGAAUAUUGGUCAAUGGGCGCGAGCCUGAACCAGCCAAGUAGCGUGAAGGAUGACUGCCCUACGGGUUGUAAACUUCGUGUAUAAAGGAAUAAAGUGAGGCACGUGUGCCGUUUUGUAUGUACUGUAUGAAUAAGGAUCGGCUAACUCCGUGCCAGCAGCCGCGGUAAUACGGAGGAUCCGAGCGUUAUCCGGAUUUAUUGGGGUGAAAGGGAGCGUAGAGGGGUUGUUAAGUCAGUUGUGAAAGUUGGCGGCUCAACCGUAAAAUUGCAAUUGAUACUGGCAUUCUUUCGUCCAGUUGAGGUCGGCGGAAUUCGUGUUGUCGCGG